AAAAGUCGGUCGCGCGCGCCGUACAUGCCGGCGCUCCGAACAUGCCAGCAUCGCUACAGAAGAUAUCGAUGGGUGAAGAAGAAAAUUAAAAUUUCCGAACUGCCGAAGCUAUGACUGUCUCACAGUUUAUUGCCGCAAGCAUGGGGCAAUAGACCUGGAAUGAGUGGCACGACGACAAGUGCCCCAUGCCUGACAGCUAUGACACCACCGUAUUGAUCGCCUUUGUUGUGGCAACGCUCUACCUAGUCCUGCAUGCCACCGUGCGGAAGAUGACCGUACUCUGCAUAAUCUUUCCAAUGCUGCCCAUGCUAACCCUGGUUGCCGUCAACAUCAUUCCACCUGGCGUCGAGCUGCUGGCUUCACUGAUGGCAAUCGCACUGGUCAGCGUCAUGCGCCGCAGGAUCUUCUACAACUGAUCGUGCACCAAAAAUUCGAUAGAAGAGGCUCUACCUACAAUUUAUUUCCCUAUUUACAACAACUCAAACAUAAUAAAAACAGGUAGUCAUGUCCGUGGAACAGACUAGCAUACUGAACCUGAA